UACGUAGGGGGGCAAGCGUUUGUCCGGAUUUAUUGGGCGUAAAGAGCGUGUAGGCGGCCAGGUAGGUCCGUUGUGAAAACUCGAGGCUCAACCUCGAGACGUCGGCGGAAACCCUCUGGCUAGAGUCCGGAAGAGGAGAGUGGAAUUCCUGGUGUAGCGGUGAAAUGCGCAGAUAUCAGGAAGAACACCCGUGGCGAAGGCGGCUCUCUGGGACGGUACUGACGCUGAGACGCGAAAGCGUGGGGAGCAAACAGG
rnacentral:rRNA from 1 species